CACCGGCGCUCCCAAGCGAGGAGCUUCUAUGAUCCUCCGCUCCCUUGCAUCCUCCCCCACCCCUGCCUUGUGUAACAAUGUUUUAUACUAUAUAGGCAGGUGUUGGUAAUUAUAGUUGUGAUAACUCUGAGUAGAAGUUGGAUUGAUGCGGGAGCAUGCAUCACACUCUUGAGUAGAAGCCGGAUUGCCACUCACACAGUAAAGCAACCCCUUUGUCAUAUGUUUGUUUUACUGCUAUAUUUCACCAGGGUAUACUUUUAAAUCACGGUAUUGGUCAGUGUAACGGUCGUGAGUAAUGGAUAUCGGGAGUAUCAGUCAAUGUGUAACGAAAAUCGUAGAACGCACUCUUGGAUUUUUUUCAAGCACUAGCAAAUGUUAAAAAUUCAUUGAUACACAUGCUCUAACCUUACUUAUGACUAAAUUGAAUGUUUUUAGGCAAUAUUUGACUUUUAGAAGGAGUUUUAAGAAAGAUUUGAUCAAAUGUUCUGUUUUACGAGCGAAAUUGAAGUUUUUUUUUUUCCCCCUUAGUCUCUCUGAACCAAGUCAAAAUAACGAUAGUGUGAUUCUCAAAAUACCCAUUUUAGUGAAGGCAGAAGAAUUUCAUAAAGUUGCAAAGAAUACACUGUAGGAUCACAUGGAGGUUUGAGAAAGGAACCAAAAAAAAAAAGAAGAAAAGAUUUUCCCUCUGUUAUGUAGGCGUAACGGUCCUAUAAUGAGGUGUAACGGCCAUUACGGACCGUUACGCAAUAAGUAACGGCCGUAGCAGCCGAUACACACGAGAGUUUUCGUAACGCCGUUGUUUUCACCAGUAACUGUGUUGGACCUUCAAAAACCCAUUACGUAAAGACCCUUACCUUAUGAACUGCCGUUUUUAUAAAAACAAGCACCAGGGUAUGUAGCAAGAGGUACAUAUAUAUAUAUAUUUAGGUAAA